rnacentral:lncRNA from 1 species
GGGUCAUAUAAACCAUGAACACAUAGUUUUAACGGUAUUCAUACCGCAAAAUAAAACAUUACCUGGUAUGUUUACAAUUACAAAGAAGGUAAACUACCAUUAAUAGUACUUUAGGUGAUUAGCCUAUUGUACCCCUACGUCAUGCAUAACGUAUUAAUCAUACCUAGCGAAUAUUUACGCUAUUAGAUUGGAUCAUUUAUCCAAACAACAUUGUUCACCUCAGUCUUAUCAUAGGAUUCCGCACCAAACAAUUUGGUUCGGGAAAUUUCUUUCAAUGAACACUUAGAGUUUUCAUAAACAUUAGUCUAGCUGAUUCAAAUAGCAUAGACUCAUAUCAAUAAUUCAAUUCAAUCGAAUUAUUUAGAUGUAGCCAAACCCCGUUGGCAAAUUAAACUUUUUGAAAACAUUUU